rnacentral:lncRNA from 1 species
AGAAACAUUGUUUUGGCACAACUUGCUACAGAAUGGAAUAAAUGUUCUCAAAGAAAAAACUAGUUUCACGAGUGGGCAGAUAUUUGUUGGCUCUCUUUGCAUUUGUAAUUCUAUCCACUUUGUACAUCUGUUCAUCCAUGUCUCUGUGCACCUGUAACAAUUUAAUUUAUGUUAAUUGUUGGAAAAGAACAUUAUCAAGUGCGAAGAAAAAAAGAUUACGCGUAAUAUCAGCGAAAGUAGGCUUAUGUACCACUACUGUAUUUCCAAGGAAAAUAUGUUCGUCAUGAGAUUAAUUUGAAUAUGCGGAAUCGCUGAAGAAUAGGAAGAAAUUUAAUAAAGUUAGGCCACAAAAUCAUAUCUAACAACCCUCUAUUGCUGUAAAAUGUUGAAUAAGAUUAAUGUGUACAUGUUCAUGCAGAAAUGAUUUCACCAGUGGUAGUUGAAUUUCAUUGUCUUUACAAUUGACUGUGUGAUAUAAGAACUUUUCAUGAAUUUUGUUAAAAAUAAAAGUAGCUGAACCUUUUUAAUGAACAAGUUUAAAGAAUGGAAUGAACAAGAAUUGAUUUAACAAAUGUUGAACCGAAUGAAACAGGUUUAAUAAACAAUUGUUCAACCAUAAAUAAGUAGUUGAACAUCUUUUUUGUUAACAAAUUGAACAAAAAAGAGAUAUGUAAAUAUAUUGAAGAAAAAUUCCAGGCAAUUAAUAAAAAUGAUUAACAAAUGUUCAAAUUUGUUUUUUUAUAUUUAACCUAUUCAAAACGAAUGUUCAGUUUUUUUGUUGCAAACAAAUGUUCCAUUUUUAUACAAAAAUGUUCAUCGUAUAUUACAAAAUUGUUCACAGUAUGUUUCAAAAAAAACAUUAACUACGCAUUAUAAAAAUGUUCACGCAUAUUAAGAAUAUGUUCAACGAAUACUACAAAAGUUCACUGUUAAUGUGAAUUUUUUUUUCAGUGUUUAUUACACAAAAAUGUUCAGUGUGUAUUCGGAAAUUUUCCAACAUCGAUUACACAAAGUGUUCAAUGUGUAUCCAAAAAAUGUUCAACGUACAUUAGAAAUGUUCAAUGCCUACCAAAAUUAAACAAUAGAUUUUAAUAGGUUAUAAGCAAAAAAAUGGAACGAAUGAACUCUUAAGAAUUUAGUUCAACAGAAAGUGAAUAAGUUUAAUAGAUAAUGAACAAAUUUUGGAAUGUUAAUAAACAUAAAAAAAUUCCUUUUUACGCUGAAAGUUGAUUAAUUAAGAAACAAAUACACAGAAUGACAAGUUAAUUAGAACCAUACUGAAGUAGAUGAUAUUCUGCAGGGCAAACUCUGCAAAAGGCAAUAAAAUUAGAAUAUCACCCAGCACAAAAGGAAACAUCACUCUAUUUCACCUUUUCUUAUAAAAAUAUGGGACCAAACUUCACUGCAUAUGGAAGACAUAUGUCAUGUUCAGAUUGAGAAUGAUUUGUGAGAAGAACAUCAUCACGUCAGAACUGCCAAAUUUGUGAGAAACGAAACACAUCCAAGCACCAACUAGUGUUCAGAUUGAGAAGUUUCGCUUUUAAAUUUCACUCGAUCUACUCUAAUUCUAGACUCAGGUAGCCAACCGGACCAGAUUGUUCUUCCAUAGCGGAUAUGUCUACCAUAUCUCGGGCGAUAUGAAUGACUUUGUUGUUGUGCUAGAAAAUGCCUACUUAACCAUAGCGCAUAUGCUUUGCUAACAAUUGCAGCAAAUCCAUGGGCACAACCACAUGUUCGCGCACAUUUAGAAGAUGUUUGAUUUAGUCUGGCAUAAAGCUUCUCUGCAAAGGAGACAUCUUACUAACAACUUUGGCCCAACGAAGAGUAGAAAACCGUGACCGGAAAGUCGCAGUGGACCGUACAGGAACAUUUUGGCCUAGAAAAAGAAAUAGAGGAAGGUAUAAAACUCAUAGUCAUAAAACAACACCAAAAGUGAAGAUAGUGCAAGAAAAGCUGAUAGAUAAUAUACAAAUGAAUUGCUAACAAGUAACCUAUUAAAAAAGGAAAAUGAUUACUUAAGAAUCAUAUGAGUUCAGGUCAAACAACAACAAAAAAUCUAUAAACCAAACAUUAUUUUAACCUUUUCGUCACAGAAAAAUUGUUCGUAAGUCAUGGACAGAGUGGACAUACUUUUUCCUUAAGAAAUCAAGUACUGUGAUGACCAAUCCUUCACAUAAAAACACAUGCAAGCACCAACUACUGGUAUGAGCACCGAAGUAUUUCCAAAAAUCACACAAACCGACAACUAGUAUGAGUAAUCCCUACCAGAACGAACAAAACAACAACUAGGAUGAGCAAUCCCUACCAAAAUCGAGCAAAACAACUACUGUGAUGAGCAAUCCCUACCAGAUCGAACACAUCAACUACUUGGCACCAAUUCCUACCAAAAAGGAGCACGAGAUUGAUCUAGGGGUCAAGAAACAGGGACGAAUUCCAACCAAAACAAAGCAACACCUAGCAGAUCGAACGAACAGAGCCGCAUCAACCAGCUCCCCACUCCAUACGAAACCAUAAUCGUAGAACUAAAUGGAUCGAGAUCGAAACAGUAACUACAACCUGCUUCUCAAAUCUGCCAUGAAAAAGAUGGGAGAUGAACAACGAACCUUGCGCAGCCAUGGCGGCAACCAAUUCCGCGAAGAGAAAACGCCGGCCCGGGAGUCACGAAGAUAAAGAGAAGAAGCAGGCGAAGAGAGAAGAGAAACGCCGGCUGGGGAAGCGAGACGAGAAAGAGAGGAAAAGAAGGAAGCGAAGAAGGGCGAAG